rnacentral:rRNA from 1 species
CAGCAGCCACGGUAAUACGCAGGUGGCAAGCGUUGUCCGGAAUUAUUGGGCGUAAAGGGCUCGCAGGCGGUUUCUUAAGUCUGAUGUGAAAGCCCCCGGCUCAACCGGGGAGGGUCAUUGGAAACUGGGAAACUUGAGUGCAGAAGAGGAGAGUGGAAUUCCACGUGUAGCGGUGAAAUGCGUAGAGAUGUGGAGGAACACCAGUGGUGAAGGCGACUCUCUGGUCUGUAACUGACGCUGAGGAGCGAAAGCGUGGGGAGCGAACAGGAUUAGAUACCCCGGUAGUCCCUGUCUCUUAUCC